rnacentral:rRNA from 1 species
GGGGAAUAUUGGGCAAUGGACGCAAGUCUGACCCAGCAACGCCGCGUGAAGGAAGAAGGCUUUCGGGUUGUAAACUUCUUUUGUCAGGGAAGAGCAGAAGACGGUACCUGAUGAAUAAGCCACGGCUAACUACGUGCCAGCAGCCGCGGUAAUACGUAGGUGGCAAGCGUUAUCCGGAUUUACUGGGUGUAAAGGGCGCGUAGGCGGGGAUGCAAGUCAGGUGUGAAAUCUAUGGGCUUAACUCAUAAACUGCACUUGAAACUGUGUCUCUUGAGUGCUGGAGAGGUAGAUGGAAUUCCUUGUGUAGCGGUGAAAUGCGUAGAUAUAAGGAAGAACACCAGUGGCGAAGGCGAUCUACUGGACAGUAACUGACGCUGAGGCGCGAAAGCGUGGGGAGCAAACAGGAUUAGAUACCCUGGUAGU